GUUAAAUAGGAGUUAGGAUCCAAUAAGAUUAAAGUUCAUCCAAGUUAAGUGUAGAGUUCUUCAAAAGGUAACAUCCUUUUUACUUGCAUAUGCUUUGUAUAGGUUCUUUCCAAUUGGGUAACUCAUAUCCUAUGUAACCCAUUUGGGGUUUUGAGACAUUAAGAUGAGAUGCUUUAGUUUUGAGGUUUGAUAGUUUUCUUGCUAGUGGAAUGUUUUGGGGUUAAUGCAUGUUACGCUUCUAGGGUUAAAAUAGUUGGUUAUUGAGUUUAUUACAUGAAUAUAUGUUUGAGUUGAGUUUUUGGAGCUUUAAACAUGAGUUGAUGUGUUUUGGGAAUGUGAAGUUGCUACAAAUUUCAAAUUGGGAAUUCUUAAAAUUCUCACAUUCGAC
rnacentral:misc_RNA from 1 species